UCGGUGCCCCUCGGGGCUUGAAACGGGAAUAUGGUGCAAAGCCAUAGCUGUCCCUGCAACUGUAAGCGGUGAGCGCGUGAUGCCGGUUCCUGCGAGAGGGGACAGCCACUGGAGUUAUCCGGGAAGGCCGCAUGACGGAACGCUUCGACCCGCGAGCCAGGAGACCUGCCGAUGCG
rnacentral:ncRNA from 1 species